rnacentral:RNase_P_RNA from 2 species
CAAGUCGGCCGGGCGGUCGCCGUCAUCCAGGCGCAUUCGUUGCGUGUUGGAUGGCGGAGGAAAGUCCGGGCUCCACAGGACAGGAUGCCAGGUAACGCCUGGGGGGCGCGAGCCUACGGAAAGUGCCACAGAAAACAGACCGCCCCACCACCAACCCCGUCGCCGCAUAGCGGUCCCGGGGUUGGUGGUGGGGUAAGGGUGAAAAGGUGCGGUAAGAGCGCACCGCGCCGGCCAACGCCGGUGGCAGGGUAAACCCCAUCCGGAGCAAGACCAAAUAGGGAAACGCGCCGCGCAAGCGGUGAAGUGUGGUCCGCACGAGUUUCCGGGUAGGUCGCUUCAGGCGCGUGGCGACACGCGUCGCAGAUGAAUGAUCGCCGUGUUGCUUUGCAACACCACAGAACCCGGCUUACAGGCCGGCUUGCACU